rnacentral:lncRNA from 1 species
UCAACAUGCAUUCCUUUGAAUGGUAGCUUAACAACCCAUCACAAAAUGGUAGUUACGGAAGAUGUAUACAAGAGGAGACGACAACAUGUAGUCAAUUUAAAACACAAGUAUAAGAAUUAUACUCUGCUUUAGUGCAAGCCAUUCAAAAAGCAUACUUGAUUCAAGUUUGGAUAUGAGAACACCGUGACAAAAGUUUCUCUUUCUAGGAUUCGUCGAUGCCUCACCGUGCACCUCUCCUAGUCUCCCUUUCCUCCGUACAUUUUUCGCAUCCUCAAUUUCUCCUAGCGUUCCUUCAAACAAGAAAAUGAGAAGAUAUUUUUUUCAAGGGGCAUCAACACAGAACCAUGACCUUCGCAUCUUCGUGAAGACUAUUGGCGAGUGAACCUUCAUGCGGAGCCAUGUUUUCCAUUGACAACGUCCUCCGCCCUGGCCUAUAUCACACAAGUUCUUUUCCAUCAGAUCUACCAUGCCAUAUAACAUGAUGAUUUAAGAAUGAACGUGUAAGUGUUCCUAGCAUGAAAAGCAUAGCAAAUUCGAGUGCCAGAACAUAACAGUGAAGUUGUACACUUUCAUGCGGAGUUGAGCUUCAAUACAAUGCCAGAGCUCUAUCUUCAGCGAACUGGUAAUAUGAAAAUAUCAGUACCAAAAAUAUAAUUGUGAAAUGGUGAGCACGAACUUAACUUUGGAUGUUCAGUGCCAAUUAUGAUGCCCAACUCAGUUGAUGUUACCACGGAGAAUUAUAUAACAAGCAUUGAGCGUUAAGUAGCUUGAAACCUUAUACUUAAGGUCACUUGUCUAUCUGAUUGUAAAUGACAGGAUGCAAUAUUGCAUUAUCAUUACUUAAUUGAAGACUAUAAUUAUAUUUGCGAUUGUUAUUAAAGCAAACUUCAUACACAAAUUCUAGAGCAUCAGAUUUCUCUUCGUAUAGAAGGUCCUAAAAUCAGUGAGCUCUAGAAACUUCAGGCAGAAAAUUAUCGCGAGGGCAUACAAAUUGAAGUAUAAUUCGAAGAAUCAACCCGGGAAACUACAACCAGGAACCAUUUUAUUUCGGCUUUAGUUCCUAAUUUUUUUAAUAUUGACUAUCUAGUGUGGAAAAGAGUAAUUUAUAACCUCUGUGUCCAUAUCGGUAUGUCCCAGUUUCAGUCAUCAUCAUUUCAAUUACAGUUUCCUCUCGUGCAAGCCCCAAAUCAGUAAGCUUCAGCUUCC